GCGCGAUUAGCUCAGUGGUAGAGCGGCUCGUUUACACCGAGUAGGCCGUAGGUUCAAUCCCUACAUCGCCCACUA
rnacentral:tRNA from 1 species